rnacentral:lncRNA from 1 species
UCAAAUCUAUACAAUCAAUUCACUGCUGGAAGUUUGAAAGUUGGUAGAGUAAAGCCAUAGAUAUAAAGUAUAUUAGCCCCUGAGUAAAGCUAAAAUUUUUUUAUUUAUUUAUAUAUUUCGUUAGCAAUGGGACAUCCUAAAUUUUAAGAAAUCAAUUUUGUCAACAGGGCACUGUUGGCACAGUCCGCUUUAAUUUUGAUGGAAACUAUUGCAUAACCGGUGGAUCUGAUAAAUCAUUGACAGAUUCCUUGUAAAUCAUCGAUCUUGAAGAAUUAGAUGGGACUUGGAUAUAAAGUCUUAGAAGUUUAAUCUUCAGCUAAUAGUUCACAUACAGCAUCCAGUGCAAAGGACAAAAACAUUUUUUAUUGGGACGUUAGUACUGCUGAAAUAGUAAGACACUUUAAAGGUCAUGCUGUUUAGGUUAUGAUGAUGCUACAAAGUUCAAUGAAGAAUCUAGUUUUACUAUCUGUUUCAGUUGAUAAUACUGUUUUUGCUUGGGAUUGUCGUAGCAAGUCUUGCGAGCCUAUUCAGUUUUGUCAGCGAAAGGUCCUUUGAGAAUUUUCAAAUUCUGGCAUAUAAGUAACAGUCGAAGUAAAUUGUUGAGAUAGAGAGAACUUUUUAUCUUGGACAGGAAGAAACUGGAUAAAACGGAAUGAAAUAAAAAUGACUAAUACAAUUGCUCAACAAUUGGUAUUAUAACUAAAAGAAAUUAAAUUUAUAGUAACAGAAAGUUUAUCAUUAGGUUUGAGUAUUCAUAAUUAACAUUUAAUUAUGGAAAUAAUCUAUUUGUAAUUUGAGAAUUCAAUACGGGCUUUUAAUUGUAUCUGUGU